GCGCCCGUAGCUCAGCUGGAUAGAGUACCUGGCUACGAACCAGGUGGUCGGGAGUUCGAAUCUCUCCGGGCGCA
rnacentral:tRNA from 1 species